AAAUUGAAGAGUUUGAUCAUGGCUCAGAUUGAACGCUGGCGGCAGGCCUAACACAUGCAAGUCGAACGGUAACAGGAAGCAGCUUGCUGCUUCGCUGACGAGUGGCGGACGGGUGAGUAAUGUCUGGGAAACUGCCUGAUGGAGGGGGAUAACUACUGGAAACGGUGGCUAAUACCGCAUAACGUCGCAAGACCAAAGAGGGGGACCUUCGGGCCUCUUGCCAUCAGAUGUGCCCAGAUGGGAUUAGCUAGUUGGUGAGGUAACGGCUCACCAAGGCGACGAUCCCUAGCUGGUCUGAGAGGAUGACCAGCCACACUGGAACUGAGACACGGUCCAGACUCCUACGGGAGGCAGCAGUGGGGAAUAUUGCACAAUGGGCGCAAGCCUGAUGCAGCCAUGCCGCGUGUAUGAAGAAGGCCUUCGGGUUGUAAAGUACUUUCAGCGGGGAGGAAGGUGUUGUGGUUAAUAACCGCAGCAAUUGACGUUACCCGCAGAAGAAGCACCGGCUAACUCCGUGCCAGCAGCCGCGGUAAUACGGAGGGUGCAAGCGUUAAUCGGAAUUACUGGGCGUAAAGCGCACGCAGGCGGUCUGUCAAGUCGGAUGUGAAAUCCCCGGGCUCAACCUGGGAACUGCAUUCGAAACUGGCAGGCUUGAGUCUUGUAGAGGGGGGGUAGAAUUCCAGGUGUAGCGGUGAAAUGCGUAGAGAUCUGGAGGAAUACCGGUGGCGAAGGCGGCCCCCUUGGACAAAGACUGACGCUCAGGUGCGAAAGCGUGGGGAGCAAACAGGAUUAGAUACCCUGGUAGUCCACGCCGUAAACGAUGUCUACUUGGAGGUUGUGCCCUUGAGGCGUGGCUUCCGGAGCUAACGCGUUAAGUAGACCGCCUGGGGAGUACGGCCGCAAGGUUAAAACUCAAAUGAAUUGACGGGGGGCCCGCACAAGCGGUGGAGCAUGUGGUUUAAUUCGAUGCAACGCGAAGAACCUUACCUGGUCUUGACAUCCACAGAAGAAUCCAGAGAUGGAUUUGUGCCUUCGGGAACUGUGAGACAGGUGCUGCAUGGCUGUCGUCAGCUCGUGUUGUGAAAUGUUGGGUUAAGUCCCGCAACGAGCGCAACCCUUAUCCUUUGUUGCCAGCGGUUAGGCCGGGAACUCAAAGGAGACUGCCAGUGAUAAACUGGAGGAAGGUGGGGAUGACGUCAAGUCAUCAUGGCCCUUACGACCAGGGCUACACACGUGCUACAAUGGCGCAUACAAAGAGAAGCGACCUCGCGAGAGCAAGCGGACCUCAUAAAGUGCGUCGUAGUCCGGAUUGAGUCUGCAACUCGACUCCAUGAAGUCGGAAUCGCUAGUAAUCGUGGAUCAGAAUGCCACGGUGAAUACGUUCCCGGGCCUUGUACACACCGCCCGUCACACCAUGGGAGUGGGUUGCAAAAGAAGUAGGUAGCUUAACCUUCGGGAGGGCGCUUACCACUUUGUGAUUCAUGACUGGGGUGAAGUCGUAACAAGGUAACCGUAGGGGAACCUGCGGUUGGAUCACCUCCUUACCUUAAAGAAGC
rnacentral:rRNA from 1 species